rnacentral:rRNA from 1 species
CAAUAGCGUAUAUUUAAGUUGUUGCAGUUAAAAAGCUCGUAGUUGGAUUUCGGUUAAGAGCGACCGGUCCGCCGUUUGGUGUGCACUGGUUGGUUUUAACUUCCUGUAGAGGACGUGCUCUGGGUUUAACGACCUGGACUCGGAGUCUACGUGGUUACUUUGAAAAAAUUAGAGUGUUCAAAGCGGGCUUACGCUUGAAUAUUUCAGCAUGGAAUAACACUAUAGAACUCCUGUCCUAUUUCGUUGGUCUCGGGACGGGAGUAAUGAUUAAGAGGAACAGUUGGGGGCAUUCGUAUUUCAUUGUCAGAGGUGAAAUUCUUGGAUUUAUGAAAGACGAACUUCUGCGAAAGCAUUUGCCAAGGAUGUUUUCAUUG